AGGAUGAACGCUAGCGGCAGGCUUAACACAUGCAAGUCGAGGGGCAGCACGUCUUCGGAUGGUGGCGACCGGCGCACGGGUGCGUAACGCGUAUACAACCUACCUUAUAGAGGGGAAUAGCCCAGAGAAAUUUGGAUUAAUGCCCCAUAGUAUUAUUGAAUAGCAUUAUUUGAUGAUUAAACAUUUAUGGCUAUAAGAUGGGUAUGCGUUCUAUUAGCUAGAUGGUAAGGUAACGGCUUACCAUGGCAACGAUAGAUAGGGGUCCUGAGAGGGAGAUCCCCCACACUGGUACUGAGACACGGACCAGACUCCGUACGGGAGCAGCAGUGAGGAAUAGUGGACAAGUGGCGAGAGCCUGAUCCAGCCAGUGCCCGCGUAGCGAGGAA
rnacentral:rRNA from 1 species